GGGGGGGAGUUUUGGGGCCCAAGACGAGUUUGCUCCUGGACCGACUGAGUCAGAAACAGAGCAUUGAGGUGAGAAGAGAAGCCAUUAUCUCCAGCCUUAUACUGUACCAUGGGAAGAAGGAAUAUGACUUGUUUAGGACUGCUUGUUUACGAUGGCUAAAGCGAUGGCAGUGGUCAGAGGCCACUCUUCAAUAAACAACUGAAAAGAGAAAGAAGUUUGGUUAUUGGAGCGUCGUUGUCUGGCUGUCUAGCCGGCUGAAAAGUUGGGAAAACUCAGGGCGAGGACAGCACAGUGAUGUCAGUAACUCUGUUUUCAAAAUCUGACAGCUAUGAGAUUGUCCCAGGAUGCAAGAGUACAGCGAAAGCUUGUCCACUGCUUAUGGGACUGAUUUAUGCCCUGAACUGUGCAUACCCUCCUAUUUUGUGCUACACUUUUAAAGUCCUCUAAGAACUCUUGCUGGAGAUGGAUCAAUUUAAACUCUACACAAAAGAAAACACCCUGAAGUGAAAGUUACUGUCAUGAUUCUGUCUUCCUAGAGGAGGAAAAUAUUUCUGUAAUGAAUGUUUUAACUCUGACAGUGUUGUAAACUUUUCACUACAUAUUUAAAAAACACUGUUCCAGUUUGAAUGUAAAAUUUAUCACUGCCCCAUAAAGAAAUUUAGAAAUUAAAUUCACACUACUAGUGGAGUUACUUAUUUGUGAAGCCGUUUCUUUAAUGCAUAGAGUAUUGCUUCAUUUUAUUUGUAAACGUUUAUCCAGAGACAAC